GAUGAACGCUGGCGGCGUGCCUAAUACAUGCAAGUCGAGCGAACGGACGAGAAGCUUGCUUCUCUGAUGUUAGCGGCGGACGGGUGAGUAACACGUGGAUAACCUACCUAUAAGACUGGGAUAACUUCGGGAAACCGGAGCUAAUACCGGAUGAUAUUUUGAACCGCAUGGUUCAAAAGUGAAAGACGGUCUUGCUGUCACUUAUAGAUGGAUCCGCGCUGCAUUAGCUAGUUGGUAAGGUAACGGCUUACCAAGGCAACGAUGCAUAGCCGACCUGAGAGGGUGAUCGGGCACACUGUCACUGAGACACGGUCCAGACUCCGACGGGAGGCCGCAGUAGGGAAUCUUCCGCGAUGGGCGAGAGCCUGACGGAGCGACGCCGCGUGAGUGAUGAAGGUCUUCGGAUCGUAAAACUCUGUUAUUAGGGAAGAACAUAUGUGUAAGUAACUGUGCACAUCUUGACGGUACCUAAUCAGAAAGCCACGGCUAACUACGUG
rnacentral:rRNA from 1 species